GCUGAAAAACAACAGACGACGACGUCACAACACUUUUCAUACUCAGAUCCUAACAUCAUCAUAAUUAUUAUUUAUCUUCAUCAGUCACUGAUCAUUGAUCUGAUCGAUGAAUCAUCAAAUGUCUCCAUGGCAACGCUGCAGGUCCACGUGACGUCAGAGACUCGAACGUCACGUGAUCCCUGCGUCAUGUUUACACUCAGCUGUAACGGAUCAUACAAGUCUGAACGUGCGACGAGAAACGUCAUCGUCAGUGACGCUCUACACGGCGCAGCACCAGAGAAGAAGAGCGAUACGUCACAGCUGAUCCUCCCGGUUGGCGCCACAACCGACAGUUUCGGCGCCAAACGAGCGCAACAGACAAAGACAACCUCCCGCUCUCUGACGUCACUGUAGACGGACUUGACGUGUCUCGGUGCGGGAGUUAAAACCCGGAAGCGCACAGCUGAUUCACUUACCGCAUCAGCGAAGAUUUUUCGCGCGGUUUUCGCCGCCAGGACGCGGGACUUGUUCAGACUCGGAGGCUGCGGAGACAAAAUGAGCGCAGCGCCAUGUUGUCGAUUUGACUGCACAGGGAGUUCUCGUUCCUGACGGACAGAGCCGAGCGAGCAGAAAGCAUCUUGACUGCAGCAGAAGAACCGACUGGAGCCGAACAGAAGAACCGACUGGAGCCGAGCAGAAGAACCGACUGAAGCCGAACAGAAGAACCGACUGGAGCCGAACAGAAGAACCGACUGAAGCCGAACAGAAGAACCGACUGGAGCCGAACAGAAGAACCGACUGGAGCCGAACAGAAGAACCGACUGGAGCCGAACAGAAGAACCGAGCGGUGACGACGAGCAGAUGGAGACUGAAGUCGCUUCGCGUCGCUUUCCCCUUUUUAUUGAAAUCUUGGCGCCUGAACGGAGCCGGCCAAUGAGAGCGCGGCUCGCGCCGGCCCUUUAAAGUGACGCUGCGACCAGAGCCAAUCGGGCUGCGAGGCGCGUUCACGUGACACCAGAAAUGCGUCUUUGUUCGUGCGGUUACAAAACCCGCAAUCAACCGGUUACAAAACGAAGAAAACUAUCGUUUAUGAAACAUUGAAUCUUUUGUUUGAACGUGACACGUCACAGCCGCGUCAUCACGUUCACGUGUAAACAGAAAGAACUCGUUUCAUUCGGAUUCGAAUCUCCACACGACUUAAACUGGGACGUCACUUGAAGAAACGUUCACAUAUUUUCUCUUCCCUCCAGCUGCUGGAUCAUAAAUACAUAAUAUAUCAUAUAAUAUCAAUAUCAAUAAACUGUCGGUGAUUUCA